UUGUCAUCUAGAGCUUCAUGUUAACUACAGAUGAUGUCCUGGGAGACAGUGAGAGAGACUUCCAUCUUUAUAAUGCUGGAGUGGCCAAAAUCUAGAGCACUAAGGAAUGCCACAGGAGUUUUAAAGCUAUGGGAGGAAGACCUAUGCUCUUGGACACAAGUCAUCUUUGCUUGCUGUCCUUUCCAUUGGACCAGAUGUCUUGGCAUCUGGACAACAUCGUCAUCAGAAAAGCCUGGAAGAGAAGGGAACAGAAGGUAAGGCCAAGCCCCGGAGAGUUGUUGGUACAUAAGAGGGUUUGGGUUUGGAUUGGCAAGCCGAGGACGAGGACUUUCUUCUCUGCUUCUGUGCUGGGGCCUCACCUGCUCCCGGGAGACAAAGCGCCACACAGCACAGGAGCCAUGCGGCCAUGGUGGUACUGA
rnacentral:lncRNA from 1 species